rnacentral:rRNA from 1 species
GAGCCGGGUCGGGUAUAUUGCCGACGCAGACUGGUGGGCUCGGCUGGAGAGCGCGAGCAGAAGGAGGACCUUGGGGGCUUAGGAGGAGUAGGCGGGGGGGGGGAGGAUAGCAGCAGCUCUACAUGGUAGGGUGCUCUCCGCCGCAGGCGCCGCCCGCUCUAGUUAAGUUUACCCUACUACACUUCCAACUGUUCGUGGCCCUCUUAAUGGAACCAGUAUCACAAUUCCGAGGACAACCAUCUACCGUCUUUCCCUUCCUGAACAACACCAUAUGUUCCCUAUUCGUUAGACUGAGUCUUCUGCGAUACUUCCUUCUUUAAUCCUCUCACUUUCUCCUCCUCCUUGUCCGGUACGCACUCCGUGAACCGAAUCGAGGGCUCGCAUCGUCAGCUGGUUUCCCGUUAGCAAAUCUAUUCGUACUUAUGCGACUCGAUUAUUUCUCCCCUAGAUGGCGUCUCCUAAACCCUCGACCGGUACGACUUCGUCGUGUUCACGUUCCUAAUCCAAAUAUGUUCCGAGGAGUGUUGCUCCUUCUUGGUUCGAGAGAAUCAGGACUGGGAGGAUCUUGCCUCGGACUCGUCCAACUGAAACGUGGACGUUGCUUCGCCCUUCUAAGACUUCUACUAUCCUUCCCCUUUUCCGCCGCGCUUCUCUCCUCUCCCCUGUCUCUUUUUCUCGCCUCCGCACUUUUCGUGAUACUCCCUUUUCUCUCCUUCGCUCUGUUCAUACUCUCAUCUGUGCUGAGCCUCCUGUCCCUCUUCGCGGUGGCGUUCCUAUUCGUCUUCUCCUCCGUACUAAGACUAAUUGCAUCGUCCGAUCGUCGCGACGUUGUCAUAACGAUGACAUGGAAUGAACGUACAAGUUACUGAACCUACGAUGAGAACGAACUAUUACAUCACAUACUAACUUAAGACGAUAGAUAUGGCACGGGGAUAAAGCGUCUUUGUGUAGACGUUGAUGCCUACCUUAGCGUACUGAAGCAACACGGACAACUUCUAACUUUUCUACCACAAAGUACUUCUUCUGACUUUAGCACAGACUACUUAAAAUCAGCCGCGCUUAAAAUAUUAAAGGAACCAAUGAACAAGUUAGUCAAUCUCUUCAAGACGGGGCCCACGUCGUUUUUACCUUCUGGGAAACUUAGUUUUAAAAGAUCCCGGAGACAGAUUCAUAAACUGUAAUAUAAACCUUUCGUUAAAAAAGUAACUGAGUUUGGAGAACGUUCAAAAAAAACAAAAGUAAACAAUUAAUGGGCACGUAACAUCGACCUCGUAUUUAUAAGAUUACCAAGUUGUAAUUAACAUAGAUAUAU